rnacentral:rRNA from 1 species
UACGUAGGCAGCGAGCGUUGUUCGGAGUUACUGGGCGUAAAGGGUGUGUAGGCGGUUCUUUAAGUUUGGUGUGAAAUCCCUCGGCUUAACCGGGGAACUGCGUCUGAUACUGGAUGGCUUGAGUUCGGGAGAGGGAUGCGGAAUUCCAGGUGUAGCGGUGAAAUGCGUAGAUAUCUGGAGGAACACCGGUGGCGAAGGCGGCAUCCUGGACCGAUACUGACACUGAGGAGCGAAAGCCAGGGGAGCAAACGGG